rnacentral:rRNA from 1 species
UACGUAGGUGGCAAGCGUUGUCCGGAUUUACUGGGUGUAAAGGGCGUGCAGCCGGGAGAGCAAGUCAGGUGUGAAAUCCAUGGGCUUAACCCAUGAAUUGCAUUUGAAACUGUUUUUCUUGAGUACUGGAGGGGCAAUCGGAAUUCCUAGUGUAGCGGUGAAAUGCGUAGAUAUUAGGAGGAACACCAGUGGCGAAGGCGGAUUGCUGGACAGCAACUGACGGUGAGGCGCGAAAGUGUGGGGAG